rnacentral:rRNA from 1 species
GAUGAACGCUGGCGGCGUGCCUAAUACAUGCAAGUCGAGCGAACGGACGAGAAGCUUGCUUCUCUGAUGUUAACGGCGGACGGGUGAGUAACACGUGGAUAACCUACCUAUAAGACUGGGAUAACUUCGGGAAACCGUAGCUAAUACCGGAUAAUAUUUUGAACCGCAUGGUUCAAAAGUGAAAGACGGUCUUGCUGUCACUUAUAGAUGGAUCCGCGCUGCAUUAGCUAGUUGGUAAGGUAACGGCUUACCAAGGCAACGAUGCAUAGCCGACCUGAGAGGGUGAUCGGCCACACUGGAACUGAGACACGGUCCAGACUCCUACGGGAGGCAGCAGUAGGGAAUCUUCCGCAAUGGGCGAAAGCCUGACGGAGCAACGGCGCGUGAGUGAUGAAGGUCUUCGGAUCGUAAAACUCUGUUAUUAGGGAAGAACAUAUGUGUAAGUAACUGUGCACAUCUUGACGGUACCUAAUCAGAAAGCCACGGCUAACUACGUG